rnacentral:lncRNA from 1 species
GAAAAAGAGGAAAAAAGAAAGUUUGAGAACAGGGUGAAUGGGGGGAGAGUAAACUGUAAGAAUAACAGAGGUGACACCGGCGCCGAUGGCCGGAACUGAAACGAACGGCGACAGCCCCAGAGUAGCACUAAACAGUGCCUUAAAUGUUUCACACUUAAACUCGUUUCGUAUUGCAGCUGUGGCUGAUCGUUUAGCCACUCAUGUCCGCUCCGCCCCUAAAAACGAAAUCGCUGAGUUUGUCAACCUUUGCCUUUCUCUCGCCAGGUAACCCUCUUCGCACACCUAUGUUUAUCGUACAUAAUUUGUAUUUUACGAUAUAUAAUAUGGAACACAAAAAAAAUUCCUUGUUUUAUUUUGCUUAAUGCCUCAAAGUAUAUUUGUCUUUUAUUUAAUAUCUAAAAUUGUAUACCAGUGGAAUAGAGCAUGGCUUUGCUCACAAUUUACCGUUUUCCAGUUUUUAAUCUUUUCCUUUUUUUGGGGCUGGGGCGUUAGUAGAAUUUAGGGUGUUGAGAAUGUAAUUCUUAAUAAUUUUAGUGUAAGAAUAACCCCUUGUAUAGUUAUUUGUAUCCUGACAAUGUACAAAAGACUGUAAUGGUUCUUUAAAACUUUGAAGCUUAUAAAUUUAGCUAAAAGGAGUCUCGGCUCAUCUAUAUGCGAGAUUAUACCUGUCAAAAAUCUUAUACAGUGUCUGCUUAAUUAUUUUUAUAUAUCCCCAUUCUUCAUUAUGAUAUUUUCGACCUAAAUUGAAUUUUCCUUAUUCAUCACAUUCCGGCCUCUGAAUUUAGAAUUGGAUAAUGGUCAUUAUUAUGUUCCUAAGUUUGUGUGGUGGAUCUUAAGAUAAGUACUUGUGAUACUUAUUCUAGAAGGUUAACCAUUCAUCCAAGAAAAGUUUACCAGAAAGGUUGACUGGCUAGUCCUUUGUUAAUAUGCUGCCAGUUGAUUCUUAGAGGGAAUGUAGAUUAUGUGUGGUAGCCCAGUGUCUAUCUUGUACUUGAUAAACUGCCGAUCUACCUGAACUUGUUUUUGCAAUCAUGUUGUACCAAAUUGUGUGUGAUGCUAAUUGUUUGACUUGUUAUCACAUUGUUAUCUAUAUAUUUGAAUUCUGCCUCUGUUGUUGACCUUGCCACCACCAGUUAUUUCUUACUCCGCCAUGUAACUUGAGGAUUAUGCAAAAUCUGGCUCACAAAACUCACUGCAUGGCCUAUAUUUGGUCUGAUAUGGGAUAACAAACUAGUCUUUGAUGUGUUCCUUUUCCAACCAUCUUCUCAUCCCUUUCUCUCCCAUUCUAUGAUUCUCUUCAAUGUAGUAUUUGCUGGCUUGCAGUGGGUAUUCCAGUUUCCUUCAGGAGAUCCUAUAUAUACUUUUAUUCUGAAAUAAAAUCCCCUUCUUUAAAUGAGUCACUUCAAUUCACUUCCUAAUGAGCGAGUUUCCUGGGUUCUUAAUCUCAAAUUCCUUUAUAAGAGCUGCAUUUUUUUAUUUCCUCAAUAUACAGUCACAUUCUCUUGUUCUAAGUGUUUUAUAAACAGUGUAUGAUCCUUUUGACUCUAUUGAUAUUUGAAAUUUACCAUAGAAUUGUUGAAUUUUCCAAAAACGUGCUCUAGAUAUUGUUUUAGGCCAUAUGAAGACUUUUCCUACAUGCAAACCAUACUUCUGUUGGAUUUCCUUGUGGUGGUAAUUCCAUAUUCCUCAUCUAGGUCUCAACAUGGAAAUUCAUAUUUUACCUCAAAUUGUUGGCAUGACCUAUCAAUUCGGCAGCUAAAGACAACAACACUUCAAUGUUGUCAUCUUCUCCAUGGGAGCAACAGUCUAUGAUAGCCUUUCCC